rnacentral:lncRNA from 1 species
CUCCCUGUGGUGUCACAUGCAAGACAAAUCAUCUUCUGCAAGGAUGGGAUGGAGCUGUACAGUCUGAAAGCCCAGCAAGGGCAGCUGAUCUAUGCUGUGGUCUUGAACAUCACGUCAAGAAGAUAUGCAGGAAGAUAUACAUGUGGGUACCAGCAGAGGAAUGAGAUGAAACAGAGGAGGAGCUCUGCCCUCAGUGCUGGCCGCAUCCUGAAUGCCCCUGGCUUCUCCAUGGUGCUGGCAGUGCUCAAGACUCUUCUGCUGACCCCAGCCAUUUCUAUGCCAACGUGGAUGAGAUGGGCAGAGUGAAGCUCUCUUAAUCCAGCUGCUCUCUACAUCCACUGCAUGCCAAAAGCUGAGCAAGGGAGAGGUGAUGCAGCUGGUUCUCUGAGAGAGGCGGAGAGAACUGGGGAAAGCCCUGCUGAUCUGCGAGCUGUGAAUAAAGCCACCCCAAACAAG